CAAUAGCGUAUAUUAACGUUGUUGCAGUUAAAAAGCUCGUAGUUGGAUUUCUGGAGGGAGCGUCGGCCCGUAUUUACGAGUGCGUGACGUCUCUGUCCAUCCUUGCGGGAAGGCACGGCAUUGAUUUGUUGUGUCGGAUCGCAUCAUUUACUGUGAAAAAAUUAGAGUGUUCAAAGCAGGCUUUCGCUUGAAUACAUUAGCAUGGAAUAAUAAGAUAGGACUUUGGUGCUAUUUUGUUGGUUGAGCCUAAAGUAAUGAUUAAUAGGGAUAGUUGGGGGCACCUGUAUUGCGUUGUCAGAGGUGAAAUUCUUGGAUUUACGCAAGACAAACGGCUGCGAANGNGUCUGCNAAGGAUGUUUNCAUUA
rnacentral:rRNA from 1 species